GAGCACGUAGGUGGGUUUGUAAGUCAGAUGUGAAAGCCUUCUGUUCAACGGAAGAAUUGCAUCUGAAACUGCUAAUCUUGAGUAUAGGAGGGGAGAAUGGAACUUCUGGUGGAGCGGUGAAAUGCGUAGAUAUCAGAAGGAACGCCGGCGGCGAAAGCGAUUCUCUGGCCUAUUACUGACACUCAGUGUGCGAAAGCUAGGGGAGCAAACGGGAUUAGAUACCCCGGUAGUCCUAGCCGUAAACGAUGGGCACUAAGUAGAGGGGUUUU
rnacentral:rRNA from 2 species